rnacentral:rRNA from 1 species
UACGUAGGGUGCAAGCGUUGUCCGGAUUUACUGGGCGUAAAGAGCGCGCAGGCGGUCGUUCAAGUCGAGUGUGAAAGCCCCCGGCUCAACUGGGGAGGGUCAUUCGAUACUGAUCGACUCGAAGGCAGGAGAGGGAAGUGGAAUUCCCGGUGUAGUGGUGAAAUGCGUAGAUAUCGGGAGGAACACCAGUGGCGAAGGCGACUUCCUGGCCUGUUCUUGACGCUGAGGCGCGAAAGCUAGGGGAGCAAACGGG